GACGAACGCUGGCGGCGUGCUUAACACAUGCAAGUCGAACGGUAAGGCCCUUCGGGGUACACGAGUGGCGAACGGGUGAGUAACACGUGGGUGAUCUGCCCUGCACUUCGGGAUAAGCCUGGGAAACUGGGUCUAAUACCGGAUAGGACCACUGCCUGCAUGGGUGGUGGUGGAAAGCUUUUGCGGUGUGGGAUGGGCCCGCGGCCUAUCAGCUUGUUGGUGGGGUGAUGGCCUACCAAGGCGACGACGGGUAGCCGGCCUGAGAGGGGGACCGGCCACACUGGGACGGAGAUACGGCCCAGACUCCUACGGGGGGCAGCAGUGGGGAAUAUUGCACAAUGGGCGCAAGCCUGAUGCAGCGACGCCGCGUGAGGGAUGACGGCCUUCGGGUUGUAAACCUCUUUCAGCACCGACGAAGCGCAAGUGACGGUAGGUGCAGAAGAAGGACCGGCCAACUACGUGCCAGCCGCCGCGGUAA
rnacentral:rRNA from 1 species